GUAACGCUCAUACGCAGAUUCGGAAUAAGAUCUACUUUGCUCUCUUUUCGAUUUCUUAUUUUUAUCGUUGUUAUUCUCGUGUUCUGAUUGCUUGACGUGUGGUAAUUAACAGAUAUCCGGGUCCUCUGGGAAACUAGGGUUUUCUUAGUUUCCUUAUUUAAACGGAAAUCGACAGUGUGAAUUUCGGUUCCCACAACAUUCUCCAGUUUUGGAAGGAUAAUACUCAUAGGUAUGGUGAUUUAUCAGCAAUGGCUUGUGAUUUGCUUAGUAUUCCUAUCACAACAGUAGCUUUAUAUUCCUCUUUUAGCGUUGGAUCGCAAGUGCUUAACAAAUAUAUGAGCCAUCUACUUCAAAAGAAUGUGCAAGCUUUGAUAUAUAGUAGGAAUUUAGUGUACAAAUAUCGACCUUCCAUUGUAUGAAGCUGGUUGCAUUUAAAUAAGAACUCAGGAAAGCCUUUGCAUUCAAGUGAGUACUCUAUCAUUGCACAAACAUCGCUUUGCAUCACAUUGCAUUCCAUUGUAUCAAGUUUCAUUCAAACAUCUCUCUACAUCACAUUCUUAUGCAAUACAUGUACCGAAGUUAACAACAACUUUGAUCCAUCAUGUUUUGGUGUAUCCCGCAGGUCGAUCCACUUACCGCAUAUAUAGAGGUGGGACAGGAUUGGUCAUCAUCUAUGGGGACCGUGUCCGGCGGCAGUCCAGCCCGCUACCACCCAAAUGAAAACUAGACAGCAGCGGGACGAGACAGAUGGUUGCGGGUAGGCCUAAUUGCCACCUCUAAUCAUAACUAUAUGAAAUACACAUUUUGCUGAAAAGGAGAUUUGUGAAAUCAGUAAUAUUUUAUUAUAAAUUUUAAUAAAUCUUAUUUAUUUCUCCAAUAUGAUUAACACAUAAUAGUUUGACUAUUUCUAAAAAUAACUAGAAAAUAAAAAAACAACGUUAAACACCAAUAUAAUUACCACACAAUAUUUAGAAAAAAAAAACAAGUCAAACAAAAAAAAAACAAAUAUUCUGGAUCGCCAUGCAAGACAUGCUUCGUUAGUUUACAUACUCCUAUCUAUAAAUUAAUCUCCAUUUCAAAUGAAAAUUUCAACCAUCAAACCAGAAAACGUAAAAUUCAAAAAAAUAUAUAAAAAUAAUAAACGUGUUUGCAACAUAAGAAUAUUGCAAAGAAUAAUAUGUCGUCAUCACAGUUCGCUAUCUUUUGCAUAAUAUUGAUCGCGUUUCUUCCUCUUCAUGAAUGUAUGCAUUUAUACUAGCUUUCCUGUUUUUUAUUACUUACCGUUUUUCACCAUUGCAAUCAUAUCAUAAUAUCAUUGAUAAUCUUUUUUCCUUUGAUUGAUAUUGUUGUCACUUUUUGUGUAUAUAGUUGUCGACGGCCAAGUUCUUGGUGUGGGUAAAGAAAGUUGUAAGCAAAUGAAAUGCGGCGAAGGGAAUAAACUUACUUGUCCUUGUUGUGUCUCCAAUGAUGGGCUUCAGUACAGGUGUUACGAGAAAAUGGAAUAUUGUGAGGGGAGGUGCGGGAGAAUUUUAUAAGCUAUCUCGAGAACCUAUAUCAAAGAUUAUAAAUACCUGAAUAAAUAAUUUAUUUAAUAACUUAUAUCUAUUUUUCCAUUACAUAAAUAACACGUGCUCAUUUGUAGUCCAACAAAUACAGUUUAUGCCUAUUAUAUUUUUUUUUAUUAAAAAAAUAGUUAAACACAGAUCUAUUAAAAACAUAGAUCUAAACUUACGGGUGGAGGUACAGUCCACGGAUAGACUCUCUCAUGGACAUUCAAAUGAGCCGAAAGCAAUAAUCUAUAUCCGUGUGGCCAAUGGAGUUCGAACCGGAAUUCGAUGUAUUGAAUUUAUUUUCUCAAACGCCACUGAAUUACCACCACUAGUUAAAGUAUAUAAACUUCAUAGUUUCUUAUGAGAAAUAAUAUUUUCUGUUUUCUUUUACACUGGAUCACUACCACGUAAGAGUAAGGAAAAAACUUGUCCGAAAAGUAAAUUUUGAGAUUUUUGGGACUUGCAUAGUGUCUACGUGUUUUUACAAACAUGAAAGUCCAAACAUGUAGUUUAGUUUUUUGUCUGCUUAUAUAAUAGCUAGAUUAGUACAAAGUCUAUGUUUUUAUACCAGACUUUACAUGUGCAUUUGGUAGACUUGCGUAGUGGCUGUAUAGUGUCUACAUGAUUUUACAGGAAUAAUAUCUGAAACCUGUAGAGUAGUUUGUUGUCUGCUUAUAAUCGGUGGAUAAGCAUAAGAUCUACACAUGUAUAGCAGACUUAACGUGUGAAUUUGGUAAACUUAUAUAAUGGCUACAUGUUUCAACAGAAUUUAACAUCAUAAGCAUUAGAUUAGUUUGUUGUCUGCUGAUUAUCGACAUGCUAGAGUAUUGUCUUCUUUAUUGGUAUGUUGUCGGCUGAUCACCGGUUGAUUAACAUUAAGUCCACACGUGUAUAACAGACUGUACAUGUUAAUUUUGUAGAGUUCUUUUAAAUCAAUAAAAUAUUUGUACACUAGCAUAAAGUCUGCAUUAACAAAAUAUCCAACCUUAACUAAAGACUCUCGCAAGUUAAUAGAACAACACUAACAAAAUAAAAAAAAAGUUAAGAAAAUAUACACGUUUUUGUAAAGGAAUGAAAAUAACAUGAGUUCAUGAAAAGCAAAGAUAUAAUGGAUUAGAAUUAGAAGAGUCAAAUUCAAAAACUUAAUUCACUGUGGUAGUUUGAAGAUGGAUGUACAUCGAAGCCCUAGUUUAAUUUGUCUCGAUCUAAAACUCAGUUUUGGCUGCAAACUGAUGUUUCUAUAUCGACAAGGAAAAAAAACUGAAGUGGAGUUGAUAUUUCAAAUUUAUUUAUUUUAGCAAAAUCACUAAUAAAAAUUUUAAUUUUUAUAAAGUAAAUUCGGAAAAUAAAUUAUUGCUCAAAGUUUAAUUUGAAAGAUUUAAUUUAGUUUACUAAUUUAAAAAUUUGAAGGAUUUAAUUUUCAAGUAAAUUAGGAAAGUAAAACUGUAUUUAAAUCAAGUUCU